GACGAACGCUGGCGGCGUGCUUAACACAUGCAAGUCGAACGGUAAGGCCCUUUCGGGGGUCCACGAGUGGCGAACGGGUGAGUAACACGUGGGUGAUCUGCCCUGCCCUUUGGGAUAAGCCUGCGUAACUGGGUCUAAUACCGGAUAGGACUACGCGAUGCAUGUCGUGUGGUGGAAAGCUUUUGCGGUGUGGGAUGGGCCCGCGGCCUAUCAGCUUGUUGGUGGGGUGAUGGCAUACCAAGGCGACGACGGGUAGCCGGCCUGAGAGGGUGUCCGGCCACACUGGGACUGAGAUACGGCCCAGACUCCUACGGGAGGCAGCAGUGGGGAAUAUUGCACAAUGGGCGCAAGCCUGAUGCAGCGACGCCGCGUGGGGGAUGACGGCCUUCGGGUUGUAAACCCCUUUCAGCACAGACGAAGCGUAAGUGACGGUAUGUGCAGAAGAAGCACCGGCCAACUACGUG
rnacentral:rRNA from 1 species